rnacentral:lncRNA from 1 species
GAACGAUGUAAUUCCAUCCCCAGGCUGAAACACAUUAGCGCGUUUGGCAAGUGCUCUAUCAGAGGGCCAUCAGACUGAGGCUCGUGCAUGAGGGGAUAGCAUGCUUUUACUUUCACUCUCUUUGUAUUAAAAAACGAUUUCCCGGUCGGAAUAUUAUCGCUUUUUUAUGAGAAAAAUGGCAUAAAAAUUGAUUUUAAACAGCGGUUGACAUGCUUCGAAGUACGGUAAUGGAAUAUUUAGAAUUUUUUUGUCACGAAACGCGUCGUGCUCGUCACCCUUAUUUACCCUUUCGGAUAGUGUCUUGAACGCACGAACAAAACGCCGCUGUUUGGAUAUAACUAUGGAUUAUUUGGGACCAAACCAACAUUUGUUAUUGAAGUAGAAGUCCUGGGAGUGCAUUCUGACGAAGAACAGCAAAGGAUCUGCAGUCCUGGUGCCAGAGGCCCCCAGUAAACCUCCAACAGAAGCUCCAGGUUGUCCAUUACAGGAGUGGUUAAGGCUGCUGUCCCUAGCGCUUUAUGAAGAGCAGAAAAAACUGCAUGUUUACUUUUAGUGCAGCAGAUGUCAGAAGGCUGGAUCAAUGUGGCCCAGUAUGAGACCCUGCUGCUCCUUGCACAGAUGUCCCACCCUGCGAUCAAUGGAGAUUAGCUAACAUUGCAGUGGGUGAAGCAACAGAUAUCUCCCUGGAGAAUAAAACAGCAGUGUGCCCCCUGUGACACGAGACAUGGCUUUUAACAAGCAGGAGCCAUCCUUUCAUUU